AUAUUUUUAAGUAACUAGGCAAAAUAAUUAUAUUCACCUGUUUAACAAAAACAUGUCUUUUUGAUUAUAAUAUAAAGUCAAUUCUGCUCAAUGAGGAAUUAAAUAGCUGCAGUAUUUUGACUGUACAAAGGUAGCAUAAUCAUUUGUCUUUUAAUUAAAGGCUAGAAUGAAUGGAUUAAUGAAAUAUAAACUGUCUCAAUAAUAUAUAAUGAAUUUAAAUUUUAAGUUAAAAUGCUUAAUUUUAUUUAAGGGACGAUAAGACCCUAUAGAAUUUUAUAUAUUAUAAAUUUUUAAAAAUAAAUAAUAUAUUUGAUUGGGAGGAUUUUUAUAUUUAAUUAACUUUAAAAUUUAAUAAAUAUUGAUUUAUAGAAUUUAAGUUGAAAUAUAUUAAUUAUAUUAAAAGAAUAAGUUACCUUAGGGAUAACAGCGUAAUAUUUUUGGAAAGAUCAAAUUGAAAAGAAUGUUUGCGACCUCGAUGUUGAAUUAAAAUUAAUUAUAAAUGUAGAUGUUUAUAAAUUUAGUCUGUUCGACUAUUAAAAUUUUACAUGAUUUGAGUUCAGAUCGACGUGAGUCAGAUUGGUUUUUAUCUUUAAAAAAAUUUAAAAUUUUUGUACGAAAGGACU
rnacentral:rRNA from 1 species